UCCGCCGUUUUCUCAAAAUAAGAACCCCUCACGAUAUCAUCUUUUUGAGGAAGCUAACCGAAAAACCUUGAAGACCUAACAAUAAUUCUAGAGGAGCUAAAAGUAUCAGCAGCAACCGAUAACACUCUAGAGCAUAAGAGACCUAGAGAGUAAAAGAGAUCAGUGCCGCUACACCAAGGAAAAGAACCCACCCCACUAUUCUUCAUCUUCUUCAGAAAAGGCCCAGAGCUAACGCCGAUAGGGACCAAAAGAGCUGAAAGGAGCAUCGGCUGAGGACAAAACAACGACCACCAAAAAACCAGCCCCCUACCGCCGCUGCCCUCCUCCAACGGCCAGCCACUCCGUCCUCGAACAAGCACAACCACGAGCUCACCUUUAAAUCGCUGUCCCUCUCUCUACAAGAACCAGCUGAAAACAACUUCAAAAAAAUCGUAUGAAAAUUCGGCUCAAAUCAGCCCCGCCGCAACCCCGAAAACGCAUCAAACUUCACUUUCGAUCAGCUCUUUGAGAUUCAUUGUUCUUCGGGUCGAGUAGAGUUCGAGUCAUCGGUGAGAUUCGAGUUUCUCCCACGAGUUUCGGUCAAUCUUUCGCUUGUCGAGGCCUGGUCGCGGUCCUGUGCAUUGUCAAGCUUCAAAACAAACAGAAUCAUAUUAAUUUUGGAGGCACAUGUAUGUCUAGCGGCGUCAUUGGGCGCAACGGCAUGGUUGAUACAGAUACUUAGGUGAGUUUUAUCUCUCGAGAUGACCCGCAACUAGCAGGGUCUCCUUCAAAGUAUUGUACUUCCUUUUCUGUCCAAUUUGUAUUCCUGACAGUUAUUGUAAUACAUUUUAUUUCCUAGAAAUUGCUCAUGCACUUAUGACACCGGGUUUUGGGAUGA